rnacentral:rRNA from 1 species
UGUUGUUUAACUAUGGCAAUAGGAAGCGUUAGGUAACUUAAUUGCAUAAAAUUUGUUUAUUUUACUGUUUUAACAUUUUGUUUGGAAUUAUUAGCAAUUAACAUUUUGAUGGAACUAUCGUUUUUUAAGAAGUUACUUUGAAAAGGGGAUAGGACACAGUGCCAGCAUCCGCGGUUAAUCUGUAUUCUUUGCUUUCAUUUGAGAAGGUUUCAGUCGAUUAAGAUGAAGGUUUGGUGAAAUUUUCUUGAUUUUAUUUUUAGCAUCUGGUUGAAAUUAAUAUAGAACUAAACGACAGGGAUUAGAUACCCCAGUAGUUUUUAUUGUAUUUUUCUCUAGUUAUAAUAACUAAAAUAGUUUGGCAGCGAGUUAAUCCUAUCGGGGGAAGGUGUGUCGUAAAGGACGAUCCGCCUAUAAAAUCACCUGUUCUAUGUUGGUGUAUAUCUGGUUUGAUAUUAUUGCUUAAUAGCUGAAUUUGUGCAUUAGAAUUUAAGCCAAGUCUAUGUGCUGCAUGAGCAGGGGACUCAUGCGUUACUUUUAUAAACAUGUUUUUGUGAAUUAAACAUUUUUUAGGACUCGAAAGUAAAACAGGAUUAUAUCGCCUGUGCGAAACUGGUUUGGCUCGGGUACACACCGCCCGUCACCCUCGACACCUGUUGAGGUAAGUCGUAACAUGGUAACCCUAAAUGAAUUUAGGGUUAAUUGCGGUGA